rnacentral:rRNA from 1 species
UGCAGAGGGGGCAAGCGUUGUUCGGAAUUACUGGGCGUAAAGGGCUCGUAGGCGGCCAACUAAGUCGGACGUGAAAUCCCUCAGCUUAACUGGGGAACUGCGUCCGAUACUGGAUGGCUUGGAUUUGGGAGAGGGAUGCGGAAUUCCAGGUGUAGAGGUGAAAUUCGUAGAUAUUCGGAAGAACACCAGUGGCGAAGGCGACUUACUGGACGAUUGUUGACGCUGAGGUGCGAAAGCGUGGGGAGCAAACAGG